UCCCCUGUGCAAAACUGAAUUGUGUACACAUAUGCCCUUCAAAUCCCAUUCUCUCUCUGGUUCCUCCUCACUCCGAGGAUUCAAUGUGAAACUUUGAAACCCUAAUUUUUUCCAGAAAGAUUGGUUUAUUUCAAGAAUCAUCACUUCAUCUCUGAUUCCAACUCUCCAAAAACAAACCUGAUUUCACUCUCUAAGAAAAGUACAAUCUGAAUUCGAAGAAGAAGAAGAAGCAAUAAUGUCGAGCAUUCAGGAAGAGAGAUGUACCAUGAAAUCCUUUUAAGGUUACCAGUGAAUUCAUCAUUAAUUGUAUGUAAGUAUGUUUGUAGAAAUCGAUUAUUCCCUUAUUUCCAACCUCAUUUUUGUGACAAAUUUAAACCUAUUCUCAUGCUUCAAGGUUCUGAUAGUAAUCAACUUUACUCCAUAGGUUAUGAAUCAUCAGGGUGUGCAAUUGAAAAAUGUUGCUUUUGAAAUGGAUCAACCAUUUAAAUCUUUAGAUUAUGAUGUUGGGGUUCAUGUAAUGGUCUGGUUUGGAUAUGGUUGUUUCAUUUCAUUAUGUUGGCGGUGAUGGGGUUUUUCUUGUUGUUGGAACCAACUCACAAGAAAAUAUUAAGAAAUACCCACUAAAUCCCCUAAAAGUUUGAAGGCAUAAGUGCAUCUGGGUUUGAUUACAAGUUGGCAAUAGGUGCACAAAGUUGUGGAAGAAAGGGUACUGUUCUACUCAAAGUCUAUUCGUUAGCAUCAAAUUCAUGGAAAACUGAGAUUACCAUACCUUAUCUGGGGUUCUUGUUAAUGGCAACUACCAAAUGAUGUUAGGAUUCAUUUGGAAGUAUGACAGAUGCUGAAUUAUGGACUUCGAAAUUUUUGGAUUAGACGCUAUAUCACUACUCAUGAGAGCAUUAUUAAGGACCAUACAUAGUUAACUCCGUUGUGGUCUUUUCAGAUUCUAUUCUUGACUUCUGGUAGCCUAGUGUUGUAUGACACAGAACAUGGAAGUGUUCAAGAACGAAGUAGGCAUAAACAUUACUUUGAGGACAGCGUGAAUUAUUUGGACAGCUUAGUUUCUCUCAAGUCGGGUACUUGUGUUGAGAGGGAUGGAGGAUACAUGAAUUAUGAGAAACCUGAAGAAGGACAAUAAGCUUUGAGCGAAAGAAAAAGAAAAACAGGUGAAAUUGAGUAUCCUAUUGGGUUCAUGUUAUUACUACAUUUCUGCAAUUUUUGCCAUCGAAUUUUAGUGAAUUAUCAUCAUAAAAUUAGUACUAUGUUUCGUUUCGGAUUUCAUAUGUGUUCUUCUCAUUUUCAGACCCUUAAUGUAUAUCAUGGAUUCCUGAAUUCUCCGGGAGUGUUAAGAGUCAUGUUUAUAGAUGCUCUAUAAAAUUCUCCAUGUUCACAGUCAUUCUAUAUCAGAACAAUAUACUGAGUUGCUGAAAACAUGUUCGCAGUCAUUCCAUGUUUAUUGUUACUAAACUGAAUUGCUAAAAACCGAAACCACAAUUUUAUCAGAACAGUAACUUUCUUCGUUUAGUAACCUUUUGAUAGUCUAUGGUGACCCUGGAGGCUCUUGAAACAUGUAUUCCUGAAAUGUCACAGUAGAUUUAGGAAAUCUUACAGUCGAAAGGGAAAACAGUUUAUGAUGAUGCUGUUGAAAUGGAUCUCCCAUUCAGAACUUUAGAUUAUAAUGUUGCAUUAUCGUAAUUGAUUGGUUUGUAUUUGGAGGAGUUAUUAAGAAUUUUCUUUUUGUAUUUGGAAUCCUGUCUUUGAGUCUCUGGCAACAAUUUAAUACGAGAUGGAGAGAUUUGUGCCUAUUGAAUGUUAAAUGUAACGAUGCAUCUGUCUCUAAUUUAUUCCCACAGUCGAUCAAUGAAAAUACCUAUAUAUAUGCAUUUUCAUUUCCUUAGUUGAGCCUUAUAAGAUUCCGUUUGAGUUUCUUUAUCUUAUUGAUCGUGGUGGUGCCUCUCGGAGCUUGAGUAUGCUUUUUCCAGGGUUGAUAAACAUAAGAUGCCCUUUGCGGACUUGGCAAUAGAAACUAUUACCACCUCAAUGAUGCCCCUACGGUUGAAGGAUACUUAUGACCCCACACAGGUGCAUUGUUUCAAGGAAAUUAUAAUUUGCAAGGUAUUUGAGACUGAUUCAUCCGAAGAAUGAACAAAACCGACCAGCUUAUCCAGUCCAGUGCUUAUAAUCCAACACUCAUAAGUUGAUUCAGCUGCGCUAGACUAGUGUGUUGGAUUCAGACUUUAGAAGUUAACUACAGUUGUACGUUCUUUUGAUAAUCACUGUAACAUGCCCCAAACCAAAACCGAACACAAGGGGAGCCAGCCACACAUGUGGGCCUGGUUGAUUGGACUUGAAUUAUGUGAAUUGCUGCUGGUGCGUUGUCCCUGCUCAACGAUUUUAUCCUAACAGUUUAUAUGUCAGCAUUUCCAAUGAAUUGCUUCCGAAGUUGCCU